GAUGAACGCUGGCGGCGUGCCUAAUACAUGCAAGUCGAGCGAACGGACGAGAAGCUUGCUUCUCUGAUGUUGGCGGCGGACGGGUGAGUAACACGUGGAUAACCUACCUAUAAGACUGGGAUAACUUCGGGAAACCGGAGCUAAUACCGGAUGAUAUUUUGAACCGCAUGGUUCAAAAGUGAAAGACGGUCUUGCUGUCACUUAUAGAUGGAUCCGCGCUGCAUUAGCUAGUUGGUAAGGUAACGGCUUACCAAGGCAACGAUGCAUAGCCGACCUGAGAGGGUGAUCGGCCACACUGGAACUGAGACACGGUCCAGACUCCUACGGGAGGCAGCAGUAGGGAAUCUUCCGCAAUGGGCGAAAGCCUGACGGAGCAACGCCGCGUGAGUGAUGAAGGUCUUCGGAUCGUAAAACUCUGUUAUUAGGGAAGAACAUAUGUGUAAGUAACUGUGCACAUCUUGACGGUACCUAAUCAGAAAGCCACGGCUAACUACGUG
rnacentral:rRNA from 1 species